UCCCCUGUAGCUCAGUUGGUACGAGCGCCUCCCUGUUAAGGAGGAUGUCGCAGGUUCGAGCCCUGCCGGGGGAG
rnacentral:tRNA from 3 species